GACGAACGCUGGCGGCGUGCUUAACACAUGCCAGUCGAACGGAAAGGCCCUGCUCUUGUUGCGUUCUCGAUUGGCGAAGGGGUGAGUAACACGUGAGUAACCUGCCCUUGACUUUGGGAGAACUUCAGGGAACUGGGGCUAAUAUCGGAUAGGAGCUCCUGCUGCGUGGUGGGGGUUGGUAAAUUUCGGCGGUUGGGGAUGGACUCGCGGCUUAUCAGCUUGUUGGUGGGGUAGUGGCUUACCAAGGCUUUGACGGGUAGCCGGCCUGAGAGGGUGACCGGCCACAUUGGGACUGAGAUACGGCCCAGACUCCUACGGGAGGCAGCAGUGGGGAAUAUUGCACAAUGGGCGGACGCCUGAUGCAGCAACGCCGCGUGCGGGAUGACGGCCUUCGGGUUGUAAACCGCUUUCGCCUGUGACGAAGCGUGAGUGACGGUAAUGGGUAAAGAAGCACCGGCUAACUACGUG
rnacentral:rRNA from 1 species